rnacentral:lncRNA from 1 species
ACUGCCACCAGUAGAUGAAUUAAGAGGUUGGAUAUGGCUGUAAGGAGGAGGAUAGCAAAGGAAUGAACUUUUGGACGCCGACACUAAUCGAUGGACUUUAAGUAUACGACUGUUGGAUGAGAUGUUGGUAAUCUUUUGAAGUAUAGUGAUGUCCAUCUGGUUUAAGUAAAUAAAAGUGUUCGGCUUUUAUCUAUAAAUGUUUAGUUGGUGUGCAUC